UACGUAGGGUGCAAGCGUUAUCCGGAAUUAUUGGGCGUAAAGAGCUCGUAGGCGGUUUGUCGCGUCUGCUGUGAAAACUGGAGGCUCAACCUCCAGCCUGCAGUGGGUACGGGCAGACUAGAGUGCGGUAGGGGAGAUUGGAAUUCCUGGUGUAGCGGUGGAAUGCGCAGAUAUCAGGAGGAACACCGGUGGCGAAGGCAGAUCUCUGGGCCGUAACUGACGCUGAGGAGCGAAAGCAUGGGGAGCGAACAGG
rnacentral:rRNA from 1 species